GCGCGCCCGCCCCGCCCCCCACCGCGCCCCCCGGGGACCCCAGCACAGCAGGUCCGGGGGCAGCGCGCAGAGCCUGGGCCAAGGGCACGGGCGCGGGGGGCGGGGCAGGCGCGGACCCUCCCUCCCCAGGACCCGCCAGACGCCCGCGGCUCCCAAUGGCCAGCGCGGUCCGAAUCGACCCCAAGCUUCACCCGAGGGCAGCGGGGCCCCCGGGAAUGCCCGGCCAGGGCGGUGUCGCCGGCGUGAAUGGGGGAGGGGGCGGCCGGGGCAGGACCCGGGGCAGGGCCGCUCUGGUGGUCUCCUGCCCACCCCCCCCCAAGCCCAGCUCCCGGCCUCCCUCCCUCUCCCCCGUCCAGGGCUGAGGACUGGGGAAGCCGAGUCCCGGGGCGGGUGUGGGGGGUGGGGCUUGGGAUGCAGCAGGGGACCCCGAAGCCACCAGCAGGGGAGAAGGCCCGGUCCCUGAGCCAGGCUCGCAGGUAAGACGCGAGGCCGCAAACCCCGGCGGCCCCCACCCCCAGCCCAGGCUCUGAUCUGGCCCCACACUGGCGUUUUGUGGAGGAGAACCUGGAAUCCACGGGAGAUGUCAGCCAAGCCACGCAGCACAGGGGCCCAGCUUCCAGUCGCAGAAUGACGUUUAUCUCAGGAAAUGCAGAGGACCAGAACCAGGCAGGACCGGGCACUGGGACGGAGACAGCUGUCUGCAGGGCGUUUACCGUAGAUAUGUAUCACCUGUUCUGAGACGGAGCCGGGGAGGCUGUUUUUAAUCAUCCGGGAGCCUUGGCAAGAUCAGUCCUUUGUGGCACGUCCAGGAUUUAAGCUUUGGACCACCAAUGAGGAGGGCGUUGGUCUGAGCCUGCUUUUCCAAAUGCCGUCUUCCCUUCUUGGGCUCAGGCAGCAGAUCCAACUAUGGGCACAGCAGGCCUUGGGAAGGCGAUGCAGGUUCACAGUGUGCUGAAGAUGGAGAGAUGCAGGGGACUCAAACCCACCGGCCGAGGCACCACCCGCUUCUCCAGGUAAAGAGGAUUCAUUUUUCCUGUUUCCUCCUGGCCCAUGAUGUGGACAACUUGCCCCUUCAUCGUAAGCGCUCAGGUUGGUGAACAAUUCACCCACCAGCAUAUUCAAACCACAGCCAAACAGUGGCUGAAAAUGACAGCAAGCAGCCACUUAGCACAGGGAUCUGUCAGUGGGCUGGACGCGACAGGGAAGAUUUGGCUCUGCGCCUGGGUCCGGGACCCCGAAUGGCAGUGGGGUUGGCUCUGCACCUGGGGCCCGGGACCCUGACUGGCGGUGGGGUUGGCUCUGCACCUGGGGCCCGGGACCCUGACUGGCGGUGGGGGCUGGAGGAAGCUGCGCUCAUUGGACGGCUCGGCACUCACACAUCUGAGGGUUGUGGCUGGCCUUGGCAGAGACCUGCUCCUGGCAGUGGCUGAGCUGUCGGAAUCCAGCACCUGCCCCUCCACUUGGCCUGAGCUUCCUCACAGCAUGGCUGCCGGGUUCCAAACUCCAGCCCCAGGAGAGAUGGCCAGGCAGGAGCUGCAUCAUGUUCUCCCAUUUCCUGUUCUUGAUUCACCCCCACUGGGCACUGCAGCCUUCCUGCCAACACAGCUCUCAGGAGUAUGGCUGCCACACGCAGAGGCAUUUCCCCACACGGCCCUCCUGUGUGCUGUAAAUGCUGACAGCUCCUCAAUGGAACCCGCGUAUGGUGGGCGCUGCUUCCUCGUGUAAAUGCUCCUGUCAUAACUGGUUUCAAGCCGACAGUACAACCACCGAGUCCAGAGUCAGGAACGACGGCUCUGCACGCUGGUGGGAAUUCUCCCCGGCUCGCGCCUGCACCCCGGCCAUGGCUCUGUGGAGCUCUCCGUCCCAGGGAACCUUCUCCUGGCUUUCGCAUCCUGCCCCUUCCCAGAUUUCCGACCUCUCUGGCUGUGCCUUCUGUGCCUUCCCCGCAGCCCUGAUGUGGGCAUGGCUCAUGUCCAGCACUCCUCAGCACUUCCUUCUUUCCCAGCUCCGCCCACGACUUCCUCCACGCCUGCUCCGUUUCUGUCUGAGUGCGGGCCACUCCCAGGUUGACACCUGUGUUCCACAUUGCACGGCUCGGCGUGUGGGCUUGGACAGUGGGAGAUGCAGCUUUCCAUGAACAGCCCUGGUGUGUGGUCUGGCAAGUGGCGAGGCGGCUCCGUGGUGGUCAGGACUGAACUUGGGGUCUUGCUGCUCUGCUACCCUCCACCCAGAUCUGCAGCUCAGAGCUGAAGGAACCGGCCCACGGGAUGACAGAGCCUGAAAAACCCAGAUCUACAGGGAAGACCCUCAGACUGUCUGAAGGUCAACUGCCAAGGAGGCCCCAUGUCAGGGAGGGAAAUCGGUGCAGCUCAAAGUCCACGAUUUAAACGUCAGUCUCAUCCAAAAACACCCUCGCGGAAGCAUCCAGAGAAACGUCUGACCGAAUGUCUGGACCCCGUGGCCCAACCAAGUCUACAUGUAAAAUUAGCCAUCACGGGCCACGCAGAUGCCUCUCUGGGUGGCACCGACUGUGGCGGCCUUCACGGUUCUCUCGAGCUAGAACUUCCCAUUCACGGGCAGAGCCUCCCAGCAGGCCCACGGCCCAUGCACCGCGGCCCCACAACUGUCCUCCUGGGUGCAGGGCUUGGUCCAUGGGGACAUGUGCACCAGCAGACCCCAUGAGACCGCCCACACAUGUGCAGGCCCUGAGCGAGAGAGACCCUAGACCACAGCUGCUGCUGCGCCCGUCACAUGGAGAAGCAGCCUGAGGAUGCAGAGGAAGAGCCGGCCACCCCCAGAGGAGACCUCGGAUGGGGAGAGAACGGGGCAAGGGCUGGCGGGUGACAGGUUUCAUUUCUGGCUCCGAGGAGGGCCGCUGUUGCCUCCGACUUCCCAGAAGUGGCACGAACAAAAUCCUCCUCUCCCUUAAGCUGGGUGGAGCUGGGUCCACGUCGCUGCAGCUGUGAGUGUCCGGCUGUCCCCACGCGGCGUCCUGAGCGAACAUCACAUUCUGCUCAGAAGGGACGUGUCACCUCGCCAGCAUCCCCUCACAGGCAGGACACCUCACCUUUCACCAGAUCCACCUCCCGACAAGACGUGUGGCCGGGGCCCAGGAGCGCCGCGUGGCCGACGUUUAGGUCACUUCUGCGGCAAGUCUCGCUCUCCCGGUCGGCUCCUUGGACAUCCCUCCCUGUCACAGCAGGUUGAAGUGGGCCCUGUGAGACCACUGGUGUCCAUGUAGCAAGAGAGAAGUGUGGGCACAGACGCACAGAGGGAGAAGGCCGCGCGGGGACCGGCGCAGAGGCUGCAGCGAGGUGCGGCCAGGAGGGCGUGGCACGGCCUUGCCAGCUGAAGGCCGGAUGUCUCCGGUGGGCCUGUCAGGCAGGGCUGAAGAAAGGUAUCAGCCGGAUCAACGGCUGCACAGCAGGCACCACAGUGAGUGGAUCUGCUCGAGCAGCGAAGCCACGCCUGGCACAGCAACUGCAGUUGGAGGCCCCACCUGGGCCAGCCUCAGGCACCCAUUGCUUCCCCAGGACGCAUCUGUCUACUGCACAGGCCAGAUGGCUGAGCCGGAUGGGGCUGGGGGUGGAUCGCCACCGCUGCAUCUUCCAAGGACCUGGUGGGGACACUGAGCUCUGCAGCCCUUCUGCCAUGCGGUCUUGCUUUUGAUUUAUGGCUUUUUUUAAAAAAGUAGAAGCAGCUCUGAUGUCUCCCACCAGCAUCUCCCUCCACCCCAGGCCUCACGCCACAGGGCGGGGAGCGGACGUGGGGUCUGCCAGCUCUAGUGUGUCCGUUCCAGUUGCGCACCUGGAGCUGGGAAAUGGCCCUGGGAUGCAUCCCGGGACCCACUGGGCCUGCGGUGUCAAACCUGAGCUAAAAUGGCACGGCCACCCGCCCUCCACAAGCCCCUAAGUGGAGAGCCGCAGUGAUGCUUUGGGGUUCCCAGAACCAAUGUCAGUUCAGCGCCCAUGUCCGGGAGUCCCUGAAAGGUCUAGUUCAGACCCGGUCACCGAGGCAGAAGCCCACAGGUCCCGCAGGGCAGGGCGGGGAAGAGGAGCCCACACUUUCAGGGGGGCCCAGGGCCCUUUCUGAAGGGGUUUGGUAUGUAAACCGCACGCAUCUGAGAACCUGAGACCUGCUGGAGGGGCUGAGACUGGUUUGAUGACUCCAUUAGACUUUUGUUAAUCUAAAACCUUCCUGCUUAUGUAGAUUAGGUAAAGAUUUGGGAGGCCUCCCAUCGGUCCUUGGAAGGAGUGCGGUGGUGGGUCCCCGAUGCUGUGGGUCCACGACGUCCCCUCACCUUCAGCUUCACUCCAGUUUCUGUUACUCAUAGCCAACUGCAGCCAAGAAUACGAAAGCCCAGGAGGAAAUCGC